AUUGAACGCUGGCGGCAUGCCUUACACAUGCAAGUCGAACGGAUCUAGGGGCUUGCUCCUAGGUUAGUGGCGAACGGGUGAGUAAUGCAUCGGAACGUACCCAGUCGUGGGGGAUAACGUAGCGAAAGUUACGCUAAUACCGCAUACGAUCUGAGGAUGAAAGCGGGGGACCUUCGGGCCUCGCGCGAUUGGAGCGGCCGAUGUCGGAUUAGCUAGUUGGUGAGGUAAAGGCUCACCAAGGCGACGAUCCGUAGCUGGUCUGAGAGGACGACCAGCCACACUGGAACUGAGACACGGUCCAGACUCCUACGGGAGGCAGCAGUGGGGAAUUUUGGACAAUGGGCGAAGGCCUGAUCCAGCCAUUCCGCGUGAGUGAAGAAGGCCUUCGGGUUGUAAAGCUCUUUCGGCAGGAACGAAACGCUCUAGAUUAAUACUCUGGGGUAAUGACGGUACCUGAAGAAGAAGCACCGGCUAACUACGUGCCAGCAGCCGCGGUAA
rnacentral:rRNA from 1 species